CAACACUGAGAGGGAAGAGCAUCUAGAUACAUUGGGAUCCUGAAUUCCAUCUUAUCCUACAGGUUUGGUUUCCAUGGGAACCGGGAUGGCAGCGUCAUCGCUCUGGUGAUGUCCCUGGGAUGUCACAAAUACCUAGGGGAGAAGAUAUUAGAGAGAGCCAAUGAAGCCUGGCACAGAAGUGACGCUGCAGGGCACUAAAUGCUGUUUUUCACUGUUCCUGAACAAUAUCAGGCUUUUAGCCUUGUUUCUCCAACUAGAUUGUAAGCUCCUGGAGCACAGGGGAUGUCCUUACAUUCAUUUGAUUAUCCCCUCAGUGCCUGCAUGGUGAUAGAUGCAUUCACACAAAUAGGAACUUAAUCGAUCAUUGCUGAAAGAAUGUCUAAAUAGGGAGAGAGGGAAAAGGCUGUUAGAAGAGAUGGGUGGUCUCCCUCCUAAAUAAGCCCAAGCUUAUUUAGAAAAUUUUUAAUUUAGCCCUUUGAGCUUUAGCAGUAGGGCACCCUGGGCAAAUGACUCAACCUCACCAAGAUUCAGUUUCCACAGCUGUAAAAAGAAGGGGAAUUAUAAUAACCCCUAUUUCCCAGGAUUGAUGUGCCAAAAAAGAGCAAUUAAAGUGCAUUAUAUAUAUUUUGGUAGUCUUAUGGCAAUUCUUAUUGUUAGAGAGAAUUUUCCCUAUUGUUCACUUGUGUCCCAUUCUUUGUUUUUUUUGGGACUCCACGGACUAUACCUGUCCAUGAUGUUUUCUUGGCAAAGAUACUGGAAUGGUUUACCAUUGCCUUCUCCAGGGGAUCCUUCUGUCAGGAUGGCAACAAGUGUAAAUAGGGAAGGGAUUGUGGUUGAGGAGAAAAAGGUGAAUACAUUCCGGGCAGAUGGAACAGCAUGAGGAAAAGUUUGAAGGAAGGAGAGGAGGAGUGCACUCAGUGGAUGGUGAGUAACUCAGUUUGGCUGGAGAAUGUGGUGUGGUACAUUAGAAAGGUUAUUCAGGUAUACACACAGAAUGGGUUGGAGUGGGAAAAGAGACUAGACAUGGGAGACCAAUUAAGAAACUGUUGUAUCACCAGCAAAGGAUAAUGAGUUAAAGAAGCCUUUUUAUUUCUUUAUACUAGAUUUCUUUGUCUUGUAUUAUAUAUAUUAUGUCAUAUGUAUUUUAUAUAAUAUAUGCAUUUCAUAUAAUACAUAUAUUACAUAAAUAGUCAUAUCUCUGGUCCUUAGUUUCCUCACUUGAGGAACUUGGCCUAUAUGAUUUCUAGGGUCUCUUCAAGCUCUAACUCUAUAAUCCUGUGAUUCUCUAUGGGUCUUUGCAACACUAAAAUAAUAAAUGCUUCUGAACCAGAAAACA
rnacentral:lncRNA from 1 species